rnacentral:rRNA from 1 species
AUUGAGCGCUGGCGGCAUGCUUUACACAUGCAAGUCGGACGGUAACAGGCCGCAAGGUGCUGACGAGUGGCGAACGGGUGAGUAAUGCAUCGGAACGUGCCCAGUCGUGGGGGAUAACGCAGCGAAAGCUGUGCUAAUACCGCAUACGAUCUAUGGAUGAAAGCGGGGGACCGUAAGGCCUCGCGCGAUCGGAGCGGCCGAUGUCAGAUUAGGUAGUUGGUGGGGUAAAGGCCUACCAAGCCGACGAUCUGUAGCUGGUCUGAGAGGACGACCAGCCACACUGGGACUGAGACACGGCCCAGACUCCUACGGGAGGCAGCAGUGGGGAAUUUUGGACAAUGGGCGCAAGCCUGAUCCAGCAAUGCCGCGUGCAGGAAGAAGGCCUUCGGGUUGUAAACUGCUUUUGUACGGAACGAAACGGUCUGGGUUAAUACCCUGGGCUAAUGACGGUACCGUAAGAAUAAGCACCGGCUAACUACGUGCCAGCAGCCGCCGUAACAC